GCCCGCUCAGAAUCUUAAAUGAAUUGACGGGGCCCGCACAAGCGGUGGAGCAUGUGGUUUAAUUCGAUGAUACGCGAGGAACCUUACCUGGGCUCAAAUGUAUGUUGACGUAUUCUGAAAGGGAUACUUCUUCGGACAAUAUACAAGGUGCUGCAUGGUUGUCGUCAGCUCGUGCCGUGAGGUGUCGGGUUAAGUCCCAUAACGAGCGCAACCCCUAUCAUUAGUUGCCAUCAGGUCAAGCUGGGGACUCUAAUGAAACUGCCUACGCAAGUAGUGAGGAAGGUGGGGAUGACGUCAAAUCAGCACGGCCCUUACGUCCAGGGCUACACACGUGCUACAAUGGCCGGUACAACGGGAAGCGAAGGGGCGACCCUGAGCGGAUCCCACAAAAGCCGGUCUCAGUUCGGAUUGCAGUCUGCAACUCGACUGCAUGAAGUUGGAAUCGCUAGUAAUCGUGGAUCAGCCAAGCCGCGGUGAAUGCGUUCCCGGGUCUU
rnacentral:rRNA from 1 species